UAGUCCACGCCGUAAACGAUGUCUACUAGCCGUUGGGAGACUUGAUUUCUUAGUGGCGCAGCUAACGCAAUAAGUAGACCGCCUGGGGAGUACGGCCGCAAGGUUAAAACUCAAAUGAAUUGACGGGGGCCCGCACAAGCGGUGGAGCAUGUGGUUUAAUUCGAUGCAACGCGAAGAACCUUACCAGGUCUUGACAUCCUGCGAAUUUUCUAGAGAUAGAUUAGUGCCUCCGGGAACGCAGUGACAGGUGCUGCAUGGCUGUCGUCAGCUCGUGUCGUGAGAUGUUGGGUUAAGUCCCGUAACGAGCGCAACCCUUGUCCUUAUUUGCCAGCACAUAAUGGUGGGAACUCUAAGGAGACUGCCGGUGACAAACCGGGAGGAAGGUGGGGACGACGUCAAGUCAUCAUGGCCCUUACGACCUGGGGCUACACACGUGCCACAAUGGCCGGGUACAGAGGGAUGCUACCUCGUAAGAGCACGCAAAUCCCAAAAAGCCGGGUACUC
rnacentral:rRNA from 1 species